rnacentral:rRNA from 1 species
GUGUCAGCCGCCGCGGUAAGACGAACCGUGCGAACGUUGUUCGGAUUCACUGGGCUUAAAGGGCGCGUAGGCGGGCGAUCAAGUCAGGGGUGAAAUCUUUCGGCCCAACCGGAAAAGUGCUUCUGAUACUGGUCGUCUCGAGGGAGGUAGGGGCGUGUGGAACUUCCGGUGGAGCGGUGAAAUGCGUAGAUAUCGGAAGGAACGCCGGUGGCGAAAGCGACGCGCUGGACCUCUUCUGACGCUGAGGCGCGAAAGCUAGGGGAGCAAACGGGAUUAGAUACCCCAGUAGUCC